rnacentral:rRNA from 1 species
UACGGAGGAUCCGAGCGUUAUCCGGGUUUAUUGGGUUUAAAGGGUGCGUAGGCGGCCUUGUAAGUCAGGGGUGAAAGACGGUAGCUUAACUAUCGCAGUGCCUUUGAUACUGAUGGGCUUGAAUGUACUUGAGGUAGGCGGAAUGUGACAAGUAGCGGUGAAAUGCAUAGAUAUGUCACAGAACACCAAUUGCGAAGGCAGCUUACUAAAGUAUGAUUGACGCUGAGGCACGAAAGCGUGGGGAUCAAACAGG